UAAGUAAUUAAGAUGGAGACGCGUCGUUGACGCAAGUUAGCGAGGUUUUCUUUGUUCAAAAAGUCCCCUUAGUUGCUUAAACAUCCAUAUCGAUCGGUUUAAUUCAUUUCAGUUUUCAGUUCUAAGGAUACAGUUCGUCGUCAAGAACAUCUCGAGUGUAUGCAGUGGUAAGGUAUUGUCAGCUGAAAGUUCAUAACUUCUACAUUACUCUACUAGUCAUCCACACUAUUUUCAAGACCUGGGUAUCACAAUACGUAUCACCACUUCAACUAAUUCUAGUCAUCCCGUUGUUCAACUGUGAAGCAUCUGCAUAAUAUUGAAGGUAUCAUCGUGUGUUAUCUCUAGCAACCACCCUGACCUGUUGUGGAGUGCCAAUGAAAAGCAUUUACAUAUCUCCAAGUUUUUGAAAAUCUUUCGAGGCAAUAUCGAUCCGCCGUGGUGAAACUCAUAAUGGAAAAUACUGGAUAUAUGAAAAUUAACAAAAAUAUGCAUAAUUAUAUCCUUUUCAUAAAUUGCUUUGUUCACCAAUAAAUUUCAGUACAAAAAUUUUUUUAACCGCUUGCAUUUAUGAUUCUUUUUCUAUGGUUGUUUCAAUAGCAAUUGUAUUCAAGAUGAAAUAGUAUGUGCUACACAGAUGUUGUAUAGUCAAUUUUAAUAAAAAGUAAUACGCUUG